rnacentral:rRNA from 1 species
CCUACGGGAGGCAGCAGUGAGGAAUAUUGGUCAAUGGGCGCGAGCCUGAACCAGCCAAGUAGCGUGAAGGAUGACUGCCCUACGGGUUGUAAACUUCUUUUAAGGGGGAAGAGCAGAAGACGGUACCCCUUGAAUCAGCCACGGGUAACUACGUGCCAGCAGCCGCGGUAAGACGGAGGUGGCAAGCGUUGUCCGGAUUUUCUGGGUAUAAAGGGCGUGCAGCCGGAGAGACAAGUCAGAUGUGAAAUCCACGGGCUCAAACCGGGAACUGCGUUUGAAACUGUUUCCCUUGAGUGUCGGAGAGGUAAUCGGAAUUCCUUGUGUAGCGGUGAAAUGCGUAGAUAUAAGGAAGAACACCAGUGGCGAAGGCGGAUUACUGGGCGAUAACUGACGGUGAGGCGCGAAAGCGUGGGGAGCAAACAGGAUUAGAUACCCUGGUAGUC